rnacentral:rRNA from 1 species
GCCUACGGGACGCAGCAGUGAGGAAUAUUGGUCAAUGGCCGAGAGGCUGAACCAGCCAAGUCGCGUGAGGGAUGACGGCCCUACGGGUUGUAAACCUCUUUUGUCGGGGAGCAAGACCCGCCACGAGUGGCGGAGCGAGAGUACCCGAAGAAAAAGCAUCGGCUAACUCCGUGCCAGCAGCCGCGGUAAUACGGAGGAUGCGAGCGUUAUCCGGAUUUAUUGGGUUUAAAGGGUGCGCAGGCGGACCAUCAAGUCAGCGGUAAAAUCGUGGGGCCCAACCCCCUCCCGCCGGUGAAACUGGCGGG